rnacentral:rRNA from 1 species
GACCAACGCUGGCGGCGUGCUUAACACAUGCAAGUCGAACGGAAAGGCCCCUUUGGGGGUACUCGAGUGGCGCACGGGUGAGUAACACGUGAGUAACCUGCCCUUGACUUCGGGAUAACUUCAGGAAACUGGGGCUAAUACCGGAUAGGAAUCCUUGCUGCAUGGUGGGGGUUGGAAAGCUUCGGCGGUUUUGGAUGGACUCGCGGCUUAUCAGCUUGUUGGUGGGGUAGUGGCUUACCAAGGCUUUGACGGGUAGCCGGCCUGAGAGGGCGACCGGCCACAUUGGGACUGAGAUACGGCCCAGACUCCUACGGGAGGCAGCAGUGGGGAAUAUUGCACAAUGGGCGGAAGCCUGAUGCAGCAACGCCGCGUGCGGGAGGACGGCCUUCGGGUUGUAAACCGCUUUCAGCAGGGGCGAAGCUUGUGGUGACGGUACCUGCAGAAGAAGCACCGGCUAACUACGUG